AGUUGCUUACGUGAGCAGAAGUAGUUCUGGUCGUCGUCUACCGUCUCGCUAUAGCCGUUUGAGGGAAGAAGGAGGAAAAUUAUCCAGUAUCGUUAGAGCUACACCGAGAUUGCAUCGAGCCAAGCUUGCCACCAAGAGCCCAACAGUCACCAUGAUGCUGAGCACAGAAGGCAGGGAGGGGUUCGUGGUGAAGGUCAGGGGCCUACCCUGGUCCUGCUCAGCUGAUGAAGUGAUGCGCUUCUUUUCCGAUUGUAAAAUCCAAACUGGCACAUCAGGUAUCCGUUUCAUCUACACCAGAGAAGGCAGACCAAGUGGUGAAGCAUUUGUCGAACUUGAAUCCGAAGAUGAAGUGAAAUUGGCUUUGAAGAAGGACAGAGAAACCAUGGGACACAGAUACGCUGAAGUUUUCGAGGCCAACAGUGUUGAAAUGGACUGGGUGUUGAAGCAUACAGGUCCGAAUAGUCCUGACACCGCCAAUGAUGGCUUCGUCCAGCUUCGAGGACUCCCGUUUGGCUGUAGCAAGGAAGAGAUUUGUUCAGUUCUUUUCUGGGUUGGAAAUUGUGCCAAAUGGGAUGACACUGCCGGUGGACUUUCAGGGGCGGAGCACAGGGGAGGCGUUUGUGCAGUUUGCUUCCCAGGAGAUAGCUGAGAAGGCCUUAAAGAAACACAAGGAAAGAAUAGGGCAUAGGUACACUGAAAUCUUCAAGAGUAGCAGAGCUGAAGUCCGAACCCACUACGACCCCCCUCGAAAGCUCAUGGCCAUGCAGCGGCCAGGUCCCCAUGAUAGGCCGGGGGCUGGCAGAGGGUAUAAUAGCAUUGGCAGAGGGGCAAGGUUUGAAAGGAUGAGGCGUGGUGCCUACGGUGGAGGGUACGGAGGCUAUGGCGACUAUGCUGGCUAUAAUGAUGGGUAUGGCUUUCGGUCGGAUAGAUUCGGAAGAGACCUCAAUUACUGUUUUUCAGGAAUGUCUGUCUGAUCAUAGAUAUGGAGAUGGUGGGUCCAGUUUCCAGAGCACCACAGGGCACUGUGUACACGUGAGGGGAUUACCUUACAGAGCCACUGAGAAUGAUAUUUACAAUUUUUUCUCACCUCUUAACCCCAUGAGAGUGCACAUUGAAAUCGGACCUGAUGGCCGAGUUACUGGUGAGGCAGAUGUUGAAUUUGCUACCCGUGCACAUGCCGUGGCAGCAAUGGCAAAAGACAAAGCUAAUAUGCAACACAGAUAUGUGGAGCUCUUCUUGAAUUCUACUGCAGGAACAAGUGGGGGCGCAUAUGAUCACAGCUAUGUAGAACUCUUUUUGAAUUCUACAGCAGGGGCAAGUGGCGGUGCUUAUGGUAGUCAAAUGAUGGGAGGGAUGGGCUUGUCCAACCAGUCUAGUUAUGGGGGUCCUGCUAGUCAGCAGCUGAGUGGUGGCUACAGAGGUGGUUAUGGUGGUCAGAGCAGUAUGAGUGGAUACGACCAAGUUCUGCAGGAAAACUCCAGUGACUAUCAGUCAAACCUCGCUUAGGUGAAGGAACACUAAACACCUAUUACAGAAAUAAAAGCCCUGCAUUUAUGGGAGUUGUAGAAUGAGAGUGAUGUUUAGUAUAUCCAGUAUGAUUGGUAAAUGGGAAAUAUCAUUGAUUCUGAUCACUCUUGGUCAGCUUUCUCUUUUCUUUCUUUCUUUCUUUCUUUUUUUUUAAGAAAACAAAAAUUAAGUUCAACAGUUUUGCAUUACAGGCUUGUGAUUCAUGCUUACUGUAAAGUGGAAGUCAAGGUUUUACAACUUCAAGCUCAGUAAUUUUGAACACUGAAACAUUCAUCUAGGGUAUAAUAACAACAACGGUCAGUAUUGACCAUAACUGUUAAAACAAUUUUAAGCUUUCUUCAAGUUAGUUACAUUGUAGGAGUGUACCUAAGCAGUAAGAGUAUUUAGGUUAAAGCAGUUUCACUUAUGUUAAAUGUUGCUCUUAUACCACAAUACAUUGAAAACUUUGGAUGCAUGUUGAGAAACAUGCUUUUCUGUAAAACUCAAAUAUAGGAGCUGUGUCUGCGAUUCAAAGUGAAAACAUUUGGCAUGUUUGUUAAUUCUAGCUUUUUGGCUUAAUAUCCUGUAAGGCACAUGAGUGUACACUUUUACUUUUUUUUUUUUUAACGAUCUGGGACAAUUUUGAGAUGUAAUACCAAUACCUUAGGAGUUUGGUCAUGUCGUUUGUAUGAGAUUCUGAGGCUUUGAUUUAAAUCUUUCCUUGUGAUUUCCAUUAGAUGUAUUGUACUAAGUGAAACUUGUUAAAUAAAUCUUCCUUUUAAA